AAUCCAUGCAUAGGACACUUCCAUAGUAAAUCUUUAAAUCUUUCCAACACUUCAUACAAACUUUCAUCUUUCAACUACUUGAAUGAAGCUAAAUCAUUUUGAAGCUU